rnacentral:sRNA from 1 species
UGCUCACUUACAAAAUACUAAGUUGCC